AUUUAUAUAAUAUAUAAAGUAUAAUUGAUUUCCAAUCAAAAAGUCUAAAAUUUAGUAUAAAUA
rnacentral:tRNA from 1 species